GAUGAACGCUGGCGGCGUGCCUAACACAUGCAAGUCGAACGAGAUGCGUAUUGGAAAGCUUCGGCCGGAAGAUGCGUUAUCUAGUGGCGGACGGGUGAGUAACACGUGGGUAACCUGCCUUAUGGAGGGGGAUAACAGAGAGAAAUCACUGCUAAUACCGCAUAAGCACACAUUGCCGCAUGGCAGAGUGUGAAAAGAUUUAUCGCCAUAAGAUGGACCCGCGUCUGAUUAGCCAGUUGGCAGGGUAAAAGCCUACCAAAGCAACGAUCAGUAGCCGAUCUGAGAGGAUGACCGGCCACAUUGGGACUGAGACACGGCCCAAACUCCUACGGGAGGCAGCAGUGGGGAAUAUUGCACAAUGGGGGAAACCCUGAUGCAGCGACGCCGCGUGAGUGAAGAAGUAUUUCGGUAUGUAAAGCUCUAUCAGCAGGGAAGAUAAUGACAGUACCUGACUAAGAAGCCCCGGCUAACUACGUGCCAGCAGCCGCGGUAAUACGUAGGGGGCAAGCGUUAUCCGGAUUUACUGGGUGUAAAGGGAGCGUAGACGGAGUGGCAAGUCUGAAGUGAAAACCCUGGGCUUAACCUGGGGACUGCUUUGGAAACUGUUAAUCUAGAGUGUUGGAGAGGUAAGUGGAAUUCCUGGUGUAGCGGUGAAAUGCGUAGAUAUCAGGAAGAACACCGGAGGCGAAGGCGGCUUACUGGACAAUAACUGACGUUGAGGCCCGAAAGCGUGGGGAUCAAACAGG
rnacentral:rRNA from 1 species